AAAGAAAAAAGAAAAAAAGAAAAAAAAAACAGUAGAUGAAAAAAGAAAAAAACAAAAGGAAAAACGAAUAAUGACAAGAGAAGAAAGGUAAAGAGAAAAGAAGAAAAAAGCCAAGUCAAAAAGUAAAGAAUAACUCGAAGGAAGGAGUGGAUGGCAAGAAAUACAGAGAAAGCAGUGCAUAGCACAGCAGAGCAAAGCAAGUCAAAAAGUAAAGAAUAACUCGAAGGAAGGAGUGGAUGGCAAGAAAUACAG
ensembl:lncRNA